GAUUCUGGCUCAGAUUGAACGCUGGCGGCAGGCUAACACAUGCAAGUCGAGCGGGGAUAGGGUGCUGCACCUGAUCCUAGCGGCGGACGGGUGAGUAAUGCUUAGGAAUCUGCCUAUUAGUGGGGGACAACGUUCCGAAAGGGACGCUAAUACCGCAUACGUCCUACGGGAGAAAGCAGGGGAUCUUCGGACCUUGCGCUAAUAGAUGAGCCUAAGUCGGAUUAGCUAGUUGGUGGGGUAAAGGCCUACCAAGGCGACGAUCUGUAGCGGGUCUGAGAGGAUGAUCCGCCACACUGGGACUGAGACACGGCCCAGACUCCUACGGGAGGCAGCAGUGGGGAAUAUUGGACAAUGGGGGGAACCCUGAUCCAGCCAUGCCGCGUGUGUGAAGAAGGCCUUUUGGUUGUAAAGCACUUUAAGCGAGGAGGAGGCUUACCUGGUUAAUACCUGGGAUAAGUGGACGUUACUCGCAGAAUAAGCACCGGCUAACUCUGUGCCAGCCGCCGC
rnacentral:rRNA from 1 species